GACGAGGAGGGGAAAGAGGAAGGGUAAGAAGAGUAAGAAAUAGAAUAACUGAUGACAUCAGAGCUACAAUAGUGGACCAUGUCAUCAACCAUGGGAUGACCCUGAGGGAAGCUGGCCAACGAGUUCAGCCUAAUUUGAGCCGCUACACUGUGGCAAGCAUCAUUAGGACAUUUCGAAAUGAGAAUCGAAUUGCUAGAUGUCCACAUGUUGGGGGCAGAGGAAGAAUGUUCACUCCAGAGCAAGAGACCCAUAUAGUGAACAUGGUGAUUGCCAAUAAUGCAAUAAGACUGCACGAAAUACAGCAGCACAUAAUUGAUAAUGACACCAUCUUUCAACUAUACACAGUGUAAGCAUUUCUGCACUAAGUCGUGUACUUGCGCGCCACAGAAUAAGAAUGAAGCAAAUUUAGUUCCUUUCGAGAGAAACACAGAACGUGUAAAGCAGCUGCGAUAUGACUAUGUGCAGUUUCCAUAGGGCUGCUUUGGUCCGCAACUGGUUUACAGACCACCCAUUCUUCAUGGCACUCAACCUCCCUCCAUACUCUCCAUUCUUAAAUCCCAUCGAGGAGUUCUUCUCUGCCUGGCGCUGGAAAGUGUACGACCGUCAUCCUCAUCAACAGGUAGCCCUUUUACAGGCAAUGGAGGAGGCAUGUGGAGAUACUGACCAGGCAUCAUGUCAGGCCUGGAUACGGCAUUCAAGGAGA